rnacentral:rRNA from 1 species
ACGUAGGGGGCAAGCGUUGUCCGGAAUCAUUGGGCGUAAAGAGCGUGUAGGCGGCCAGAUAAGUCCGCUGUGAAAUCUCGAGGCUCAACUUCGAGCUGUCGGUGGAAACUGUCUGGCUAGAGUCCGGAAGAGGAGAAUGGAAUUCCUGGUGUAGCGGUGAAAUGCGCAGAUAUCAGGAAGAACACCCGUGGCGAAGGCGGUUCUCUGGGACGGUACUGACGCUGAGACGCGAAAGCGUGGGGAGCGAACAGG